UACGUAGGGUGCAAGCGUUGUCCGGAAUUAUUGGGCGUAAAGAGCUCGUAGGCGGUCUGUCGCGUCGGCUGUGAAAACUCGGGGCUCAACUCCGAGCUUGCAGUCGAUACGGGCAGGCUAGAGUUCGGCAGGGGAGACUGGAAUUCCUGGUGUAGCGGUGGAAUGCGCAGAUAUCAGGAGGAACACCGAUGGCGAAGGCAGAUCUCUGGGCCGUAACUGACGCUGAGGAGCGAAAGCGUGGGGAGCGAACAGG
rnacentral:rRNA from 1 species